UGCGGGGGGAGCAAGCGUUGUUCGGAUUUACUGGGCGUAAAGGGCGCGUAGGCGGCCUGUGCAAGUCAGUUGUGAAAUCUCCGAGCUUAACUCGGAACGGUCAACUGAUACUGCUCGGCUAGAGUGCGGAAGGGGCAACUGGAAUUCUUGGUGUAGCGGUGAAAUGCGUAGAUAUCAAGAGGAACACCUGCGGCGAAGGCGGGUUGCUGGGCCGACACUGACGCUGAGGCGCGAAAGCUAGGGGAGCGAACGGG
rnacentral:rRNA from 1 species